rnacentral:lncRNA from 1 species
CUUUUUGAAGUUUCUAGUGGGUCUUUUCACCGUUUGCUAGUGAUUUGUUCCCCGGAUCAUUGAUUGUUUAUCAAUGUAUCCCCAGCCAGUCCCUGUGGAUAAUUGCCGGAUGCUUGCAAUUCAUUCUCAGCGGAUCGCCUUUAUCCCCGGAUCAUUGAUUGUUUAUCAAUGUAUCCCCAGCCAGUCCCUGUGGAUAAUUGCCGGAUGCUUGCAAUUCAUUCUCAGCGGAUCGCCUUUCAUUUACCCGUUUGCUCGGUAAUGAUUGUUGCUUUUUUU